GUGCCAGCCGCCGCGGUAAGACGUAGGGUGCGAGCGUUGUCCGGAUUUAUUGGGCGUAAAGAGCUCGUAGGCGGCUUGUCGCGUCGAAUGUGAAAUCCCGUGGCUCAACUGCGGGUCUGCAUUCGAUACGGGCAGGCUAGAGUUCGGUAGGGGAGACUGGAAUUCCUGGUGUAGCGGUGAAAUGCGCAGAUAUCAGGAGGAACACCGGUGGCGAAGGCGGGUCUCUGGGCCGAUACUGACGCUGAGGAGCGAAAGCGUGGGGAGCGAACAGGAUUAGAAACCCCAGUAGUCC
rnacentral:rRNA from 1 species